ACACGAUUGCAUCAAAAGGUUCUGUAUAAUAUCUGCGAUGCCAAUGUCAUGUUCCAUUAGAAUGGUUGCAAUGUUGAUCAUCAUUGUUUUCCCAGACGUUUUGGUAAGAACUGACACACAACCACAUGCAGGAUAACAGUAUUCAGAUUCGUUACACCUACAUUGCAUAUUACAUCGAGGACCAUAAUAAUUUUCUGGACAUGUCAAGCUGCAGUUAUCCCCUCUGAAUCCAGGAGCUACGAAGAAAUCAGAGAACAAAAUUGCAAUCUGACCAAUUUUUCAAAGAUUGAAGACACCAUCAGAAAUCCUGAGUUUGAAAAUCAUGGCAUGAUUACAAUUCCUCUUAGUGUUGGAAUCACAGUUGUUGCCUUUUUUCUAGGAUUCCUAGUUGGAAUUUUCGUUGGAAACAGAUGCAAAAUUUCUGACAAGAGACUAGAGUCAACGGAUAAAAAGGAUAGCUACGCAUAUGAGGGAGAAUUACAAUGUCAACCUCGAUUUUAUCAAGAAAUGAGACCAACCUCUGUUGAUUCAGCUGGCAAUGUAGACAACAGUUAUGACGAAAUUCCGGAAAUAGAAAAUCUUCCGAUUGUAGACUUCAGACCUCCUCCUUUACAGACAAGACUGUGAGAAUGAACAGUUUAACCGGGGCAGGCUAAAUUACCUAAUUAUGAAUAGGUGUUAUAUGGAUUUCAACAACUUCGUGCAAAGUCAUCAUUUCAUAAAUUCUGUGAUCAUUAAAAUGACCUUAAUAAAUAAUAAUUUAGCAAAUAUAACCUUUCACUGGGUCGUAUUUUGCUUGACUUGUUUCAGAUCAAAACUGUUAUAUUUGUUUGAAUUUUGAAUACGGAAUGUUUUGCCUACUUGACCAAUACUCACAGGGCUCACGACGACUGUAACAUGACCAGCCAACAGGGAAUGGUUGGUCCUCCU